GCAACCUCACCUUAGGCAAGCACACCAACUGAAUUUAAGCAUAUAAUUAAGUGGAGAAAAAGAAACUUACAAGGAUUCCCCUAGUAGUGGUGAGCAAAUUGGGAAAAGCCCAACAUGAAAAUUGGGUAGCGGCAUCACCUAAAUUGUAGUCAGUAGAAGUGUCCUCAGUGGUAGACCCAGGCAAAGCCCCUUGCAAGGGGGCACCUAAGAGGGUGGCAACCCUGUUGGGCUAGGACCCUGCCACAUCAACAUGCAUUGUAGGUGAGUCGGGUUGUUUGGGAAUGCAACCCUCAUUGGGUGGUAAAUUCUGUCUAAUGCUAAAUACAGGUGAGAGUUUGAUGGCGAACAAGUACCAUGAUGGAAAGAUGAAAAUGAGUUGGAAAAGAGAGUUAAAGAGUGUUUGAAAUUAUUGGGAGGGAAGUAGAUGGAGGUUGUCGAUGUGUCUUGGUUAGAUGUGGAAUGGCUCAAGCUGGUCCACUGCUUGACUUGAGGUGCAAACCAGCAUGGGCUACUGCAUCGUCGCAAGAGCAGGUGGACUACUACUUGUCGGUUUUCCAUGUAGUGGUUGAGGAAUGAAGUGUGUGACCUUGUGGUAGGUCGUGUGCACCUGUGUGCUCAUGGUGUUGGUUGGUAGGCUUUCCAUUUGAACCAUCUUGAAACAUGGACCAAGAAGUCUAACAUGUGUGGGAGUCGACGGGUUUGAAAACCCGCGAGGCACAAGGAAGAUGACAAGAAAGAUCCCCUCUCUGGGAGAGUGCAUUGUUGACUAACCUUGAGCUUAUGCGAAGGGUUCGAGUGCAAGCACACCUGUUGGGACCAGAAAGAUGGUGAAAUAUACAUGAGCAGGGUGAAGCCAAAGGAAACUCUGGUGGAGGCUCAUAGCGAUACUAACGUGCAAAUCGUUCAUCUCACUUGGGUAUAGGGGUGAAACACUAAUCGAACCAUCUAGUAGUUGGUUUCCUCCAAACUUUCCCUCAGUAUCGUUGGAGCUCACAUGCAAAUUUUAUUGGGUAAAUAAAAUUAUUAGAGGCAUCGGGGGCAUAACAUCUUGGACCUAUUAUCAUAAUUUAAAUAGGUAAGGGGGUGUAACUACUCCAUUGAGUCAUGCCAUGGAAUCGAGGGCUCCAUGUGGGCCAUUUUUGUAAGGCGAUCUGGUGAUGUGGGAUGAACCAAAAGUCAAGUUAUGGUACUGAAUUGCAUGCUAAUUGAGAUCCCACAAAAGGGUGUUGGUUGAUUGAGAAAACAAGACAGUGGUCAUGGAAGACGAAAUUGACUAAGGAGUGUGUAACAACUCACCUACCAAAUAAACUAGCCUCGAAAAUGGAUGGUGCUGAAGCGCGCAACCUAUACUCGACCGUCGGAGCCAUUUCCUAGCUUCGAUGAGUAGGAGGACACGAGGGUCAUUGAGAAACCUCGAGCAUAAGCUUGGGUGGAUCGCCCCCCAGUGUAGAUCUUGGUACUAGUAGUAAAUAUUCAAAUGAAAACUUUGAACACUGAAGUGGGGAAAGAUUCCAUGUGAACAACACUUGGACAUGAGUCAGUCGAUCUUAAGAGAUGGGAAAGCCUUGUAUCAAGGGUGCACUCUACACGAGCAUUGAAAGAGAAUUGGGUUAAUAUUCCCGAACCGGGACAUGGUGGUGGGUGGCAAUGUUAGGAAAUUCAGAGACGUCCUCGAGGGCUUGAGAAGAGUUAUCUUUUCUUUUUAACAAAUUUCCCACCCUAGAAUCAGUUCACCUAGAGAUAGGGUCUAGUGGCUGGAAGAGCAUCACAUAUCUUGCGGUGUCCGGUGCACCCUCAACGACCCUUGAAAAUUUGGAGGACCGAGUACAAUUCAUGCCCGGUCAUACUCAUAACUGUAUCAGGUAUCCAAGGCUAACAACCUAUGGUCAUUAGAACAAUGUAGGUAAGGGAAGUCACCAAAAUGGAUCCGUAACUUUGGGAAAAGGAUUGGUUGUAAAGGUUGGGCCUAGUGGUCUACGAUUGGGCAAGAAAUCACGUACCAAUUGGGCUACAAUUGUAGAAUGUCUCCUACUGGGGGCUUUUCCCUAGGCAGCGAACGAUCGACACAUAACUGGUAUGGACAAGGGGAAUAUGAUUGUUUAAUUAAAACAAUGCAUUUCGAUGGUCCCUACAUAUGCUAACACAAUGUGAUUUCUACCUAGUACUUUAAAUGUCAAAGUGAAGAAAUUCAACCAAGCGUAAGUAAUUGGCAGGAGUAACUAUGACUCUCUUAAGGUAGCCAAAUGCCUCAUCAUCUAAUUAGUGACACACAUGAAUCGAUUAACGAGAUUCCCAUUAUAUAUAUCUAAUAUCUAUUGAAACCACAACCAUGGGAAUGAGCUUGGUAGAUUCAGCGGAAAGAAGACAUUGUUAAGCUUGACUCUAGUCCAACUUUGUGAAAUGACUUGAGAGGUGUAGAAUAAGUGGGAACCAUUUUCGAAAGAAGUGAAAUACCACUACUUUUAAUGUUAUUUUACUUAUUCCAUGGGGUAGAGAUGAGGAAUUACCCCUCUUUUUGGCCUUAAGGCAUGUUUCAGUAGGUCAGUUCAAGCAAAAGACAUUGUUAGGUGGGAAGUUUCGCUAGGGUGGCACAUAUUUUAAAUGAUAACACAAGUGUCCUAGGAUGAGAUCAACGAGAACAUAAAUCUCAUGUGGAAAAAAAGGAUAAAAUCUAAUUUAUUUUUAUUUUCAGUAUGAAUACAAACAGUGAAAGUGUGGCCUAUCAAUCCUUUAAAUUUUUGGAAUUUGAAGCUAGAGGUGUCAGAAAUGUUACUACAGGGAUAAAUGGCUUGUGGCAUCCAAGCGUGCAUAACGAUGUUGCUUUUUGAUCCUUUGAUGUCGGCUCUUCCUACCAUUGUGAAGCAUAAUUCACGAAGUGUUGAUUGUUUACCCACUAAUAGGGAACAUGAGAUGGGUUUAGACUAUCAUGAGAUAGGUUAUUUUUACCCUACUGAUGAACUGCACAACAAUAGCAAUUCAAUUUAGUACGAGAGGAACCAUUGAUUCACACAAUUGGUCAUCGUGCUUGGUUGAAAAGCCAGAGGCAUGAAGCUACCAUGUGUUGGAUUAUGAGUGAAUACCUCUAAGUCAUAAUCCAUGCUAGAAUUAGUGCAUGUCACUCUUCCACUAUAUCUCAACCCACAGUAGGGGCAUCGCUUUGCCGCCCCCAGGGGCCCGUGUCAUUUGCAAACCGUGACCGUGAAGCAUCUUGGUCAGGGAAGCUUUGGAGUUUAAUUCCAAAUGUUCAUUAAGAAGAAUCCUUUGCAGAUGACUUAAAUACAUGAUGGGGUAUUGUAAGUGGAAGAGUGGCCUUGCUGCCAUGAUCCACUAAGAUUCAGC
rnacentral:rRNA from 1 species